GCCCCUCGAAAAAUAUAUAUAUAUAUAUAUAUAUAUAUAUAUAUAUAUAUAUCUGUCUUCAAAGGGCUG
rnacentral:miRNA from 1 species